rnacentral:lncRNA from 1 species
UCCAGGUGCAGGGGCUUUAAAUCUAUCACAAGGUGAUAGACGCGGGGGCUUUGGGUGCUAUCAACCGGACGAAUUCCUGGGAAUUGUGGAUAUAGCUUGUCACAGUAUCUUAUCAGUAAUCGCAUUCUUGGAUGUGCUGGGAGUCAGCUUAAGUCCUUGAGGAAGGGGGGUGGGUGAGAGACUGCAAGCGAAGAAGCCAAAAUAGAGUCUGCCUGGCCCUCUCAGCUAAGGGAGAGUCAAUCACGUUAAACACAAGGUAGGGUAUCACAUUGGAAUUACAGGCAUGAGCCACUGCACCCAGCCGACAUCACCAUCCUUCCUGACUCUGAAUUUAUAUACUACUAACCAGCAAUCAUUUUCCUCCACCUAUUCAACACAGAAGUACCUAACAGUAAAAGAUGAGAGAUACCUAUCUGGCAUGUGAGAAAAUGAUAUAUAGCUACUGACGGGGAUUUCCUUUGAGGAUGCUGAGUAAACUUCGUGGUGUGUGCCUGCAUUUCCACUGCAAUCUAUCACAUGUGAUGAGUUGUGGAAUUUCCCACUUGUGGCAUCACACUGGGGCUCAAAGAGUUUCAGAUUUUGGAGCAUGUUUUUUUGUUUUUUGAGAUGGGAGCCUUGCUCUGUCACCCAGGCUGGAGUGCAGUGGUGUGAUCUCAGCUCACUGCAACCUCAACCUCCAGGGUUCCUGCCUCAGCCUCCCGAGUAGCUGGGGUUACAGGUGCCCCCCACCACACCCAGGUAAUUUUUUGUAUUUUUAGUAGAGAUGGGGUUUCGCCAUGUUGGCCAGGCUGGUCUGGAGCUCCUGACCUCAGGUUAUCCGUCCACUUUGACCUCCCAAAGUGCUGGGAUUACAGGUAUGAGCCACCACGCCCGGCCUAGAUUUUGGAGCAUUUUGAAUUUGGGAUGGUGAAUCUGUACUGUUGUUCCUCUCCCCCCACAACCAUCUUGCCGAUGGGGAAACUGAAGCAUUGAGAGGUGAUGGAAAUUGCUGGAGGUCAUAUAGCUGGUGAGUGGCAGAGUGGACUCAGAACCCAGGAUCAUCUGAUUGCAAAAUCUGUUUCCUUCAUCUCUGUACUGUGCAACAAUGACAAGAAUACUAUUGGCGAUAACAACAAUAACCCACAAAUUUUGACUUGUCAUUCACAACAACAACAAAACAAUAAUAACAAUACAUUCACCUCUGGGGUCGAAACCCAUAUCCUAGAAUCCUAGGAACUAAGGAUUCCCUCCAGCCACACUGCAGCAAUGCUCAUUUGCAUAGACCCUCUAAUUUGUAUGCAUAUCAUUAUCUGCCCCCACCCAACCCACCAGCUCCCUGUGUUUUAUGCUUCCAGCUGGCUUGGCGGAUUGUCAUUCUGUCCUGGAUG